rnacentral:rRNA from 1 species
UACGUAGGGCGCAAGCGUUGUCCGGAAUUAUUGGGCGUAAAGAGCUCGUAGGCGGUUUGUCACGUCGGCUGUGAAAACCCGAGGCUCAACCUCGGCCUGCAGUCGAUACGGGCAGACUAGAGUGCUGUAGGGGAGACGUGGAAUUCCUGGUGUAGCGGUGAAAUGCGCAGAUAUCAGGAGGAACACCGGUGGCGAAGGCGGGUCUCUGGGCAGUAACUGACGCUGAGGAGCGAAAGCGUGGGGAGCAAACAGG